GACGAACGCUGGCGGCGUGCCUAAUACAUGCAAGUAGAACGCUGAAGAGAGGAGCUUGCUCUUCUUGGAUGAGUUGCGAACGGGUGAGUAACGCGUAGGUAACCUGCCUUGUAGCGGGGGAUAACUAUUGGAAACGAUAGCUAAUACCGCAUAACAAUGGAUGACACAUGUCAUUUAUUUGAAAGGGGCAAUUGCUCCACUACAAGAUGGACCUGCGUUGUAUUAGCUAGUAGGUGAGGUAAUGGCUCACCUAGGCGACGAUACAUAGCCGACCUGAGAGGGUGAUCGGCCACACUGGGACUGAGACACGGCACAGACUCCUACGGGAGGCAGCAGUAGGGAAUCUUCGGCAAUGGGGGCAACCCUGACCGAGCAACGCCGCGUGAGUGAAGAAGGUUUUCGGAUCGUAAAGCUCUGUUGUAAGUCAAGAACGGGUGUGAGAGUGGAAAGUUCACACUGUGACGGUAGCUUACCAGAAAGGGACGGCUAACUACGUG
rnacentral:rRNA from 1 species